UGGGACAAGCCCUGGAAACGGGGUCUAAUACCGGAUAACACUUCCACUCGCAUGGGUGGAGGUUAAAAGCUCCGGCGGUGAAGGAUGAGCCCGCGGCCUAUCAGCUUGUUGGUGAGGUAAUGGCUCACCAAGGCGACGACGGGUAGCCGGCCUGAGAGGGCGACCGGCCACACUGGGACUGAGACACGGCCCAGACUCCUACGGGAGGCAGCAGUGGGGAAUAUUGCACAAUGGGCGAAAGCCUGAUGCAGCGACGCCGCGUGAGGGAUGACGGCCUUCGGGUUGUAAACCUCUUUCAGCAGGGAAGAAGCGAAAGUGACGGUACCUGCAGAAGAAGCGCCGGCUAACUACGUGCCAGCAGCCGCGGUAAUACGUAGGGCGCAAGCGUUGUCCGGAAUUAUUGGGCGUAAAGAGCUCGUAGGCGGUCUGUCGCGUCGGAUGUGAAAGCCCGGGGCUUAACCCCGGGUCUGCAUUCGAUACGGGCAGACUAGAGUGUGGUAGGGGAGAUCGGAAUUCCUGGUGUAGCGGUGAAAUGCGCAGAUAUCAGGAGGAACACCGGUGGCGAAGGCGGAUCUCUGGGCCAUUACUGACGCUGAGGAGCGAAAGCGUGGGGAGCGAACAGGAUUAGAUACCCUGGUAGUCCACGCCGUAAACGGUGGGAACUAGGUGUUGGCGACAUUCCACGUCGUCGGUGCCGCAGCUAACGCAUUAAGUUCCCCGCCU
rnacentral:rRNA from 1 species